rnacentral:siRNA from 1 species
GUGAUGAUUGUUAGGGUUCUU